rnacentral:tRNA from 1 species
GGGGUAAGAAGAUACAAGUAAAAGCUGCUAACUUUUUGCUUAAGCGGUUUAACUCCGUUUUUACCCCU